rnacentral:lncRNA from 1 species
CCUUAUCAUCCAAAUAUCAUCCAAGUAUCUCCGGGCAGCUUCCGCCACACACGCCGUAACUCCUAUCACCCUACUGCUCCUCAGUCCUCAGUAUACCAUAGCUUGGCUUCCCCGAAUGGCCGUUCCCAUUUAUAACUACUACUGUUCCCCGCUCCUCGGUUGCCUGCCCUGUGCCUUCCCCUUCUCCUCCUUUCCACCGUAUCGUCAGCUACACCUUCUCUCACCCAAUUCUUUACACUCCUCUUCUUCUUCGCUUUACCAUUUAAAAAAUCAAAGUAUUACUAGCGCUACGAUUACGGUAUGAUGAGAGGAUCUCAUUUACUGAUGCUUGCUCAACUCUUUUCGGAAAAGAAAUCGACGGAAUUGGAAGAAGGAAGAAACAGCUACAGUUAAAAAAGAUUUCAGGCCCAAAUCGGGCAGAAAGCAACGGAAAGCGCAGAAAGGCAGCAAAAUAUAUUUUUAAAUUGCCCAUUCUACCCCUAAAAAACUGUUGAAUAAAAUAUUUAUUUACUUAUAUAUCCAAAAUCACCUGCUUUCUUUCAUAAACUCCCAAACAACAUUAAAAUAUCUUCUCUUCUUUUCUUAUCCUUUCUUCCCUCUCGUAACUUAACCUCUCUCUUCUUUUCUUUUCUAUCCUCAACUCACAAACUAGCUAUAAAUCUCAUUGGAUUAGGAAUUAAAAACCAGAAGAAGGAGCUGUUUGGGGGUGAAGGUGUAAUAUAACUGUAAGAGAAAGGGCCGAAGCACGAAUAAAGCGGAGAUGGGAUGGCGGCGCCCCCACACCUUAUCAUCCAAAUAUCAUCCAAGUAUCUCCGGGCAGCUUCCGCCACACACGCCGUAACUCCUAUCACCCUACUGCUCCUCAGUCCUCAGUAUACCAUAGCUUGGCUUCCCCGAAUGGCCGUUCCCAUUUAUAACUACUACUGUUCCCCGCUCCUCGGCUGCCUGCCCUGUGCCUUCCCCUUCUCCUCCUUUCCACCGUAUCGUCAGCUACACCUUCUCUCACCCAAUUCUUUACACUCCUCUUCUUCUUCGCUUUACCAUUUAAAAAAUCAAAGUAUUACUAGCGCUACGAUUACGGU